rnacentral:rRNA from 1 species
UACGGAGGAUCCAAGCGUUAUUCGGAUUUAUUGGGUUUAAAGGGCAUGUAGGUGGAAUUUUAAGUCAGUGGUGAAAUUCUAUAGCUUAACUAUUAGAUCUGCCAUUGAUACUGUUAUUCUUGAGUAUGUUUGAAGUGGGCGGAAUGUGUCAUGUAGCGGUGAAAUGCUUAAAUAUGACACAGAACACCAAAUGCGAAGGCAGCUCGCUAAAACAUUACUGACACUGAUAUGCGAAAGCUUGGGUAGCAAACAGG